AAAUUGAAGAGUUUGAUCAUGGCUCAGAUUGAACGCUGGCGGCAGGCCUAACACAUGCAAGUCGAGCGGUAGCACAGAGAGCUUGCUCUCGGGUGACGAGCGGCGGACGGGUGAGUAAUGUCUGGGAAACUGCCUGAUGGAGGGGGAUAACUACUGG
rnacentral:rRNA from 1 species